rnacentral:rRNA from 1 species
UGGGGAAUAUUGCACAAUGGGCGCAAGCCUGAUGCAGCCAUGCCGCGUGUGUGAAGAAGGCCUUCGGGUUGUAAAGCACUUUCAGCGGGGAGGAAGGCGUUAAGGUUAAUAACCUUGGCGAUUGACGUUACCCGCAGAAGAAGCACCGGCUAACUCCGUGCCAGCAGCCGCGGUAAUACGGAGGGUGCAAGCGUUAAUCGGAAUUACUGGGCGUAAAGCGCACGCAGGCGGUCUGUCAAGUCGGAUGUAAAAUCCCCGGGCUCAACCUGGGAACUGCAUUCGAAACUGGCAGGCUAGAGUCUUGUAGAGGGGGGUAGAAUUCCAGGUGUAGCGGUGAAAUGCGUAGAGAUCUGGAGGAAUACCGGUGGCGAAGGCGGCCCCCUGGACAAAGACUGACGCUCAGGUGCGAAAGCGUGGGGAGCAAACAGG